CUAGAAAUGCUUGAACAACUAUGAAACUCAUCUAAUACACCUGUUUCUUGUUAGGGAUAUGAAAGGAGCAUGAUAACUGGGAUUAUAGCCUCUGAGUGGAGAUAAUCAUGCUAUAAUUUAGGUUCACAAAUUCAGACCAGAAACGUCCAAACAACUAAAGCAAGAAUGAUCUAACUGCAUUCUUUUUCUUCAGCUUUCUUUCUGCAGCUCAGUGGAUCCACAUCUGACAUUAUACAUCUGGCAAGACAGAGACAUACAACCAUUCACACACACACUCACACCUACGGGCAAUGGAGAGAGCCAAUCAACCUAAUGCACGUCUUUUGACUGUGGGAGGAACCCGGAGAGAACCCACGCAAACACGGGGUUCUCUCACCUCCAGGAAUCGAACCCAGAGGGUUCGUGAGGCGGCGCUGCCGCCCACUGUCUGCAACCACUCCGUUUAACAUCAGUGACUGAACCUCAGCUACAGACCAGCAAGAGCUGAUUACCUGACUCCGCCCACUGAAGUCCAGCUCAACCAAUGAGCUUCUCUGUGUCUCCAGAGCAGAAAUGGAGGAAUUCAAAGCACCAUCCUCCUGAUGCUGAGGAGAAGGGCUGUGCAGCAGAGAGGCUGUUGACUUGUUUCCUUCUACUGCAGUGGAAGAACAUUGUUCAUCUACUGUCUGUUUGGCUCCAACUGCUCCAACGACAUGUUGCUUUACCUCUGUCUCUGUUUGUUUCACUUUACAGCCAUUGGCUCCAUGAACAGUAUAAAUCCAGAAAAAGCUGAAGCCGUUGUGACAGAAGGAGGAAACAUCAACCUGACCUGUACAUAUAGUGGUUCUAUCUCCAACAUCCAGUGGUACCAGCAACACCACAGAUCCAGACCAGAGUUCCUGCUCUACAUCACAGAGGGAGGAUUAAUUCAUCCAACUGGUUCUGUUUUCCCAGCUCACAUCAAUAAAACAGAGAAACGUGUGGAUCUGGAGAUCUCCUCUGCUGCAGUGUCUGACUCUGCUGUGUACUACUGUGCUCUGAGGCCCACAGUGACAGGAAACACCUCAACUCUGUACAGAAACCUCUGGAGCAAAGACAACACAAUGCUCCACAGCAUCCACCAGAGGGAGACACUGUGAUAAACUUUAGGAGUUCAGACGAGAAAUGCUCAAACAACUAAAACGAGACUCAUUCUGUUAAGGUCUGCCUGAAAAUGGCAGGACAUGUUGAAAAUAAAGUUAUGUAUCCAAUUACA
rnacentral:lncRNA from 1 species